rnacentral:rRNA from 1 species
UGCUACAGGCUUAACACAUGCAAGUCGAGGGGCAUCAGGAAGAAAGCUUGCUUUCUUUGCUGGCGACCGGCGCACGGGUGAGUAACACGUAUCCAACCUGCCCUUUACUCGGGGAUAGCCUUUCGAAAGAAAGAUUAAUACCCGAUGGCAUAAUGAUUCCGCAUGGUUUCAUUAUUAAAGGAUUCCGGUAAAGGAUGGGGAUGCGUUCCAUUAGGUUGUUGGUGGGGUAACGGCCCACCAAGCCUUCGAUGGAUAGGGGUUCUGAGAGGAAGGUCCCCCACAUUGGAACUGAGACACGGUCCAAACUCCUACGGGAGGCAGCAGUGAGGAAUAUUGGUCAAUGGGCGCUAGCCUGAACCAGCCAAGUAGCGUGAAGGAUGAAGGCUCUAUGGGUCGUAAACUUCUUUUAUAUAAGAAUAAAGUGCAGUAUGUAUACUGUUUUGUAUGUAUUAUAUGAAUAAGGAUCGGCUAACUCCGUGCCAGCAGCCGCGGUAAUACAGAGGAUCCGAGCGUUAUCCGGAUUUAUUGGGUUUAAAGGGAGCGUAGGUGGACUGGUAAGUCAGUUGUGAAAGUUUGCGGCUCAACCGUAAAAUUGCAGUUGAUACUGUCAGUCAUGAGUACAGUAGAGGUGGGCGGAAUUCGUGGUGUAGCGGUGAAAUGCUUAGAUAUCACGAAGAACUCCGAUUGCGAAGGCAGCUCACUGGACUGCAACUGACACUGAUGCUCGAAAGUGUGGGUAUCAAACAGGAUUAGAUACCCUGGUAGUCCACACAGUAAACGAUGAAUACUCGCUGUUUGCGAUAUACAGUAAGCGGCCAAGCGAAAGCAUUAAGUAUUCCACCUGGGGAGUACGCCGGCAACGGUGAAACUCAAAGGAAUUGACGGGGGCCCGCACAAGCGGAGGAACAUGUGGUUUAAUUCGAUGAUACGCGAGGAACCUUACCCGGGCUUAAAUUGCAGUGGAAUGAUGUGGAAACAUGUCAGUGAGCAAUCACCGCUGUGAAGGUGCUGCAUGGUUGUCGUCAGCUCGUGCCGUGAGGUGUCGGCUUAAGUGCCAUAACGAGCGCAACCCUUAUCUUUAGUUACUAACAGGUUAUGCUGAGGACUCUAGAGAGACUGCCGUCGUAAGAUGUGAGGAAGGUGGGGAUGACGUCAAAUCAGCACGGCCCUUACGUCCGAGGCUACACACGUGUUACAAUGGGGGGUACAGAAGGCAGCUAGCGGGUGACCGUAUGCUAAUCCCAAAAGCCUCUCUCAGUUCGGAUCGAAGUCUGCAACCCGACUUCGUGAAGCUGGAUUCGCUAGUAAUCGCGCAUCAGCCACGGCGCGGUGAAUACGUUCCCGGGCCUUGUACACACCGCCCGUCAAGCCAUGGGAGCCGGGGGUACCUGAAGUACGUAACCGCAAGGAUCGUCCUAGGGUAAAACUGGUGACUGGGGC